UACGUAGGGUGCGAGCGUUGUCCGGAAUUACUGGGCGUAAAGAGCUCGUAGGUGGUUUGUCGCGUUGUUCGUGAAAUCUCACGGCUUAACUGUGAGCGUGCGGGCGAUACGGGCAGACUUGAGUACUGCAGGGGAGACUGGAAUUCCUGGUGUAGCGGUGAAAUGCUUAGAUAUGACAUAGAACACCGAUAGCGAAGGCAGCUUACUACAGGAUGAUUGACGCUGAGGCACGAAAGCGUGGGGAGCAAACAGG
rnacentral:rRNA from 1 species